rnacentral:tRNA from 1 species
GCCCGGAUGGUGAAAUUGGUAGACACAAGGGACUUAAAAUCCCUCGGCCCUAGGCUGUGCGGGUUCGACCCCCGCUCCGGGCACCA